rnacentral:lncRNA from 1 species
GCUGGAACACCUAGGGCGGAGGUAGUCGCGGAGCACACGGUGGUGGCGCAUAUCUCCAGCGCCAUCGCUGCCUCCGAGGUAACUCCGGUUCUUCUUGAAACAGGUCAUCGUCGCCGCUGUUGUUGCCCUUGCUGCCCCCUGAAAUCUAUCCCAUCCUUUUCCCCUUAGGGUUGAGAUUUUGGAGGUGGAGCGAAACGAGGCGAGG